ensembl:snoRNA LOC120098383 small nucleolar RNA SNORA17
AUUGCCCCUAGAGGAGUUAUAGGUGUGGUUACUGUGUCACAUGUGGGUCAGGAGCUGGCAGAGAGGAGAUAGGCCAUGUAUAUGUUCAUCGAUCUGACCUAAGAACACUUGAACGAUUAGUAGUCAAAUUGU